rnacentral:rRNA from 1 species
GAUGAACGCUAGCGGCAGGCCUAAUACAUGCAAGUCGAGGGGCAGCACGAAUAGCAAUAUUUGGUGGCGACCGGCGCACGGGUGCGUAACACGUAUACAAUCUGCCUUUUACAGGGGAAUAGCCCGGAGAAAUUCGGAUUAAUGCCCCAUAACACAAGAUAUAGCAUUAUAUUUUGUUGAAAGCUCCGGCGGUAAAAGAUGAGUAUGCGGGUGAUUAGCUAGUUGGUGAGGUAACGGCUCACCAAGGCGACAAUCACUAGGGGAUCUGAGAGGACUACCCCCCACACUGGUACUGAGACACGGACCAGACUCCUACGGGAGGGAGCAGUAAGGAAUAGUGGGAAAUGGAGGCAACUCUGAACCAGCCAUGCCGCGUGCAGGAAGACGGUCCUAUGGAUUGUAAACUGCUUUUAUACCAGAGAAAAUCAUUGUACGUGUACGAUGUUGAUAGUAUGGUAAGAAUAAGGAUCGGCUAACUUCGUGCCAGCCGCCGCAGUAACAC